UACGGGGGGGGCAAGCGUUGUUCGGAAUUACUGGGCGUAAAGGGCUCGUAGGCGGCCAACUAAGUCAGACGUGAAAUCCCUCGGCUUAACCGGGGAACUGCGUCUGAUACUGGAUGGCUUGAGUUUGGGAGAGGGAUGCGGAAUUCCAGGUGUAGCGGUGAAAUGCGUAGAUAUCUGGAGGAACACCCGUGGCGAAGGCGACUACCUGGCCUGUUCUUGACGCUGAGGCGCGAAAGCUAGGGGAGCAAACGGG
rnacentral:rRNA from 1 species